CUGAUUGGUUCUGGGGAAAAUAUCUCUCUCGCCUGCCUCCCAUCCGUUCCUCUCUGGCUCUCUCCCCUUCCUCUCCCUCGUUCCCUCCGCAGGCAGCAACAGCGCGGGCGAGCCCGGUGGCCGGCCCCCUCCCUUCCCCCACCUCUCGCACGGGCGGCCCCUGCGGCACGGCGUGGCGUGGCCGGCGCACUCGGCCUGGCCACCGUCGGCGACCGUGACCGCCCCUUCAGCGCGCGAGUUCCUGCAGCCAGAUGGCGUGGCUCUGCUCUUCCUCGAUCCGUCCACUUGCUGGUUUACUCCUCUCUCUCCCUCUCCCUCUCUCCUGAUGUGGCAUAUGCGCUGCGCUCUCCCCUCUCCCUCUCUCCUGAUGUGGCAUAUGCAUGGAUGCAUGCUUGAUUUUGCCCUAAAUAUGGUAUUCUCCUCCUUUUUUCUAUCCAUCUGCAUAGUUAUUGCGAAUAUUGUUGUUCUUUAGGUCUUGGUCUGCUCCAUUUCAAUGGACCUGACAGCGGGCAACUAUUAUGUCAGAGAUCUGAGCACAUGAGCAUGGGAGUGAUAUUUGUUUGACACCAUGUGUCCUGCAGUGCUAACAUUUUUAGGUUUAUUAUUUGCAUUUCAAUCAUGUGCAGUGAUGAGUACGAUUUUCUAUUGUUGUUACGUUUAAAAUUGAGGGAAUGGGCUAUUGCUAUGAUGAUUGCACCAUAAAUUAUACUGUGUUCCAUAUAAUGAUCAUGGUCUGCCUUUCCACAUAUUGUGUUUCUUUCUUUUUUUAGAUGGUUGAGGCAAUGUUCAUGAUUUUGCAGAUUCUUCCUCUUACAUUUUCUUACUAUGUUGAGUUGUUGACAACUUGGGCAAACCAUCUUGGUCUCGCUGAUGCUGGCCAUAUUCACGGUGGCAGAAUUAAUUUCCACUAUCCAUUUCGUGACAUGCGGUCCAGCUUUACCCCAUCGUCCCUUUACUGUGGCAACUGAGUGUCUUCGGCCGAUUGAUUGUUGGGGGAAUACCUCUCUCACCUGCAUGUCUUUCUGCUUGUCCCAUGAUACCUGAGGCAAUGGUCAAUUUGGUUGCUUCUGUUUUCUUCUAUUCUUUCAUGCAUGUUCUAUUUUGUGUACUUUCAACGCACCGGUGAGAGCUACUGUUGAUUGCGUGUUUAGUUUAUUACUAUGCGGCUGGAAUUUAUUUGUACUUUAUGAGAUCUGAGAUUGUCAUGCCAUUGCCUGUGAUGAUUUCUUCCUUUGCCUAUUCAUUAUCUGUGAACAUUGCCUGUGAUGCCAAAUUAUAUACUGUCAUUCCUGAGCAGAUGCCCUAUUCCCAAUGAUUACAUUGCCAAACACUUUGGUUGUCUGCAGUCACUUUUGUCUCAUGUUUCUUUGAGUUAUCGUGCUUUUUUGUGCUCUACGCUUUUAUCAGGUCAUGGUCGAGUGUUAGUCCUCUGCAUUGAGGGAGAGAUCAUGCUAAUUAAAGGAAAAAUUUCAAAGCAACUACUAUCCUAACGAGUGAAGCUGCAGCUGUCAUCCUGAAAAGUAAGAUGUUUGCCAUUUUUUGAUGGAUAAAAAAGUAUGGGACCAUUUAAGUCAUGGGAAAACUCUAUAUGUGUUUUUACUUUCCUUUUUGUACCAUCUUCAAUUGAGUAUUAAUUGGUGUCACCGCAUUUAUUUAAUAUAUAAAUAUGGCUCAUAGUUUUGCAAAUUUGAUAUAUCAUAAUAUGUGCCCUGUUCAAAGAAGAAUGGUUGGGUUACCAUAGAGGUUUUGAUGGGAAAUUUUCAUGCAUACUUUGGGGUAGCAUAUAGGUUUUGAAAAUUAUGCCUCUGCUAUAAUAUGAAUUCUGUAAAUAUAGCCUCUGAAAAUUAUGCCCUGAAUUAUUAUAUCACAGCACUAAUAUGAUCUAGAAAUUUUAUAAAGCCUUUGCUAAAUUGUGUUCUCUGCUCCAAGGACAAAAAUAUUAAUAAACUUUUUAGGAAGGCUCCUCUGUGUUUGUGUGAAAAAAAGGUCACGAGGCUUGCCCAUUUUUUUAUGCGUUAGGAUUUCAUUCCCAAUGCUUUGGUGCUCUGGUUUCUUGAGCGCCUUUACCUAUAUCAAAUUGUUUUUGUUCCUGUUCUUCCUUUACUCCCUCUUCUUCGUUUCUCUCCUUUGACCUUCGAUUUGUGUUUUGGGCUUACAAGGAAUACUCAUAUCUGUUUAACAUGAUCUAUUUUUAUAUCGUAUUUGUCUUUUGUUCUACCACACCUUGUGUCUUUGUUAUAGUUUCUUUGUUGCAGGUCAUGGUCGAGUCUUAAUUCUCUGCAUUGAGGGAGACAUCAUGCUAAUUUAAGAAAAAAAAUUCAAAGCAACUACUAUCCUAACGAGAAGCUGCAGUUGUCAUCCGCAAAACCACCAGUUCCUAUAUAAUUUCUAGAGGCAAAGACAAUCCCCUUAGAGAGGUGCUCCAUAAAGUAUCUGUAGUUAUGCUGAACAGUUAAAUAUGAUUCAGUGAUGACAAUUCCUAGCUAUCUAUUGAGGAUAUGGGCAUUGGAAAUUUUGCAAAUUACUGAAUGUAAGUGGUCCUCAAGACUAGCUAAAUGUCAACUAAUAGUUGUCUAAUCCAUUGAUUGCUUGCGUCUUUAAAAUCUUCUUGGUAUCAAUCGAACUGUGUUUUGCAUACCUAUUGUAAUCAUCUAAAGUGAAUGAAAAAAAGCCUCUCUAUCCAGAGACUGAUUUUAACUAUCAUCUUAGGCUUUUUUUGACCAUAUUUGUUUUCACGUUCUUCACUUCAUUUAUUUUUAAAACCCAUCAUAGUUACUGCUGCCUGCUGAAAACUAGCUUUCCAUCUGUUUGUAUGUGACACACUUAUUAUUUAUAUAAGCCUUAUGACUUCAAACUACUAGCAGCUAGAGUUCUAGCAUCAAUCUUUGUGCUCUCAAGCUAUAGUCACAUCAUUGCAUUGUGCUUACUCAGUAGAUUACUUAAUACACGAUUUUGUUUGUGAAUUCUUUGAUGUGAAAAUUAGGAAGCCGAAGUACAAACCUUAUUAUUUCCUUAUGGUACUAAAGAUGUGCAAUAGAAAGAGCGAGAAAGGACCACUUUGAGGGCUUUAUACCAGAGGUGUGGCCAUCAUCUUGUUCGUGGCAAAUUGCUACAACAAAUAGUUUUGUGACAAUGUCAGCCUACAUGGAGGGGUGUAUAGAGAAGGUUUGGGAUUACAAUUCCCUGUUUUUUUGGACCUCUAUUUUGAAGUAGAGUUAUAUUUUAAACCUCUAAGGGUUAAUGACUAAUGCGAUUUACUAAACCUAGCUCCUUUUAAAUAGAAGCUCUAAGGCGCUUCUAAUUAUUAACAUGUCAUCUUGAGCAUCGUGAAGGGUGUGAAAGAUGUUUCCACACUUGGUGUGAACUGCAUGCUUUGUGCCUCUAAUUUAUUUCCUAAUGGAAUAAUUUUGGAUACAUGGUUAAUUGGCAGACCUCUUCUUCACAAGUGAAUUUACUUUCAGUCAGUUUUAUCAUCCUGUGCAUGCCCUUUUUCCCCUUACUUCGCUUCAUCCUACCUUUCAUUCCAAGUACUUACUCUAUGCAAGCUAUGCUCAACAACAAAACAUGAUUUAGUGUUGGCACUUUCUGGUUAUAUCUUGAGCCUAUGGUCAGUAAAAUUUUGUGAAUUACUAAAUGUAAGUGCUGCUCAAGACCACAUAAAUGUCAACUAAUGCUUAUCUAAUCCACCGAUUACUUUUGUCUUUGAGAAUUUAAUUUGUUGCCACCAAUCCAAGCGUGCUUUGCAUAGUCACCGUAACCAUCUGUACUGAGUGAAAAAAGGCCAGCCUCUCUAAACAGACAUGUGUUUGUAUUUUUUUUCUACUAUUGUAUAAUCGACCACUUAUGAAUUAGAGAAUGUAUGCCUAGGUCCACGGUGGUCCCAUGUUCAAAUUCCGAUUUACAGAUUAUUUAGGCCAAUAUGUUUCAUAGCACAGUGUCUGUUGUUGGCUCAAAGUAGGUGGAGGCUCAAAAAAGAGCUUUUCUACUUUGCAAAGCUCGCAUGAGUUCACAUUUUCCCAUUGUCCUAGUAAUUGAUUCUUUUCAUCUUUAGCCUUACUAUGUCAUAUGAAGAAAUAAUUAUUGCAAUAGUUCAUACUUCAGUGACAUAAACACAUACUCUUGCACAAGCUUAAAUUAUAUCCACAUGAAAAUAGUAAAACAUGAGUCCAAUCCAACCAAAAGAUUUCUUAAAAAACAAAUAUGUGUAUAGGUUUUAGAAAUUUCAAUGGUAACUGCCCAUGGUUGAUCAAGGUAAAAACUUUUGGCAGUGGCUAGGGUACUAAGGUAAUAAACAUGCUAAUUAGGAAAAAAACAGGGGCAAGAACAUAAGACCAACCUAAGCUUUCUGGAUUCAAAUCCAAGCUUUCAACAUAUUGCACAUGGGCAUUUCUUAUCAACAUCUAGAGCCAAUUACAAGAAAUACAAGUUUCUUAUCUGCUAUCAUUCAACAUGCUAAGGUUUUCAUUUUGCUAAUGCUAUUGCAAGUUUAGCUACAUCCCAAAAUACCUGACCCAUGAUGUCAGAUCAGCUAAAGUGCUUCUAUUUUGCUAGUCAGCAGGAAAUCCCAAUAUAUAGUAUAUCUGACUGCUUACUGUUUUCAUAUUUGAAUAUGACAACUCCAACCAUCUGAAUAAAAGAAACUAUUUAUGGCUCAGGAGAGAAAAUUUUCUGGAUUUUUUUUUAAAAAAUCGUAGACAUCACAUGGUCAUGUAGGCAACAGAGAACUCUGUGCAUCAACUAAAAAUAACACAGUAUGCAAGAUAUCUUUUUUUUCCUAGUCAAGAAUCAUACCUGACCAACCCAUUGUAUUGUACAGGUGCAAGCAUGUCAAAUUCUCGGCUUAUAAUUAUAACAUGAGUUCUCUAGCUAACUGUUGUUCUUUUUGUCUGUUAAUCAUUUUUUUUCAAAACCAUGCCAGCUGGUGAAGACAACUUCUAUAAUGUUCUUCGCUGAUCUAUAAACAACUUAACUCACUGUACAGCUUCCAACUGAUCUGUAAACUGAAUGAAAAAUCAUUUAAUUGUCUACAGUUCAGUUCCCAAAUCACCACAGUUUCUUUCAAGUUCUGACAAGCAUUCUUUUUUUGUUCAUCUAUGUGCUGAAAACAUUUCCAUGCUACCCUAGGUGGGUCCUUAUGAUAAGUAUUACUUCCUGACCACAAUAACCUCAUGGAAGUACUUACAGGUUACAGGUCAGACACCAAAAAAGGAAGGCUCUGCUAGCAUCAUAUGUUUGACUAUGUACUUUUACAUUUUUAUACAGAUGUUAAAAGAUUUUUAACACAGAUAAGAUUUUCAUGGUGUAAAACCUCCAUUGUACAGAUGAUACCUUGUCUAGCUAUAGUAGGUACCACUCAUUAGUUGUUAAACAUUAUACCAAUGUUAUUUAUCAUCGUGUAAUAAAUGUGUGCGUCGCUAAUCGAACUCGAAUUCCACUC